rnacentral:rRNA from 1 species
GGUUAAGCGACUAAGCGUACACGGUGGAUGCCCUGGCAGUCAGAGGCGAUGAAGGACGUGCUAAUCUGCGAAAAGCGUCGGUAAGGUGAUAUGAACCGUUAUAACCGGCGAUGUCCGAAUGGGGAAACCCAGUGUGAUUCGUCACACUAUCGUUAACUGAAUACAUAGGUUAACGAGGCGAACCGGGGGAACUGAAACAUCUAAGUACCCCGAGGAAAAGAAAUCAACCGAGAUUCCCCCAGUAGCGGCGAGCGAACGGGGAGCAGCCCAGAGUCUGAAUCAGCUUGUGUGUUAGUGGAACGGUCUGGAAAGUCCGACGGUACAGGGUGAUAGUCCCGUACACCAAAAUGCACAGGUUGUGAACUCGAAGAGUAGGGCGGGACACGUGGUAUCCUGUCUGAAUAUGGGGGGACCAUCCUCCAAGGCUAAAUACUCCUGACUGACCGAUAGUGAACCAGUACCGUGAGGGAAAGGCGAAAAGAACCCCGGCGAGGGGAGUGAAAAAGAACCUGAAACCGUGUACGUACAAGCAGUGGGAGCACCUUCGGGUGUGACUGCGUACCUUUUGUAUAAUGGGUCAGCGACUUAUAUUCUGUAGCAAGGUUAACCGUAUAGGGGAGCCGCAGGGAAACCGAGUCUUAACUGGGCGUUAAGUUGCAGGGUAUAGACCCGAAACCCGGUGAUCUAGCCAUGGGCAGGUUGAAGGUUGGGUAACACUAACUGGAGGACCGAACCGACUAAUGUUGAAAAAUUAGCGGAUGACUUGUGGCUGGGGGUGAAAGGCCAAUCAAACCGGGAGAUAGCUGGUUCUCCCCGAAAGCUAUUUAGGUAGCGCCUCGUGAACUCAUCUUCGGGGGUAGAGCACUGUUUCGGCUAGGGGGUCAUCCCGACUUACCAACCCGAUGCAAACUACGAAUACCGAAGAAUGUUAUCACGGGAGACACACGGCGGGUGCUAACGUCCGUCGUGAAGAGGGAAACAACCCAGACCGCCAGCUAAGGUCCCAAAGUCAUGGUUAAGUGGGAAACGAUGUGGGAAGGCACAGACAGCCAGGAUGUUGGCUUAGAAGCAGCCAUCAUUUAAAGAAAGCGUAAUAGCUCACUGGUCGAGUCGGCCUGCGCGGAAGAUGUAACGGGGCUAAACCAUGCACCGAAGCUGCGGCAGCGACACUAUGUGUUGUUGGGUAGGGGAGCGUUCUGUAAGCCUGCGAAGGUGUGCUGUGAGGCAUGCUGGAGGUAUCAGAAGUGCGAAUGCUGACAUAAGUAACGAUAAAGCGGGUGAAAAGCCCGCUCGCCGGAAGACCAAGGGUUCCUGUCCAACGUUAAUCGGGGCAGGGUGAGUCGACCCCUAAGGCGAGGCCGAAAGGCGUAGUCGAUGGGAAACAGGUUAAUAUUCCUGUACUUGGUGUUACUGCGAAGGGGGGACGGAGAAGGCUAUGUUAGCCGGGCGACGGUUGUCCCGGUUUAAGCAUGUAGGCUGGUUAUCCAGGCAAAUCCGGAUAAUCAAGGCUGAGGUGUGAUGACGAGGCACUACGGUGCUGAAGUAACAAAUGCCCUGCUUCCAGGAAAAGCCUCUAAGCAUCAGGUAACAUCAAAUCGUACCCCAAACCGACACAGGUGGUCAGGUAGAGAAUACCAAGGCGCUUGAGAGAACUCGGGUGAAG